UACGUAGGGUGCGAGCGUUAAUCGGAAUUACUGGGCGUAAAGCGUGCGCAGGCGGUUCGCUGUGUCCGAUGUGAAAGCCCCGGGCUCAACCUGGGAAUGGCAUUGGAAACUGGCGGGCUUGAGUGCGGCAGAGGGGGGUGGAAUUCCGCGUGUAGCAGUGAAAUGCGUAGAGAUGCGGAGGAACACCGAUGGCGAAGGCAGCCCCCCUGGGUCGACACUGACGCUCAGGCACGAAAGCGUGGGGAGCAAACAGG
rnacentral:rRNA from 1 species